UACGUAGGGUGCGAGCGUUGUCCGGAAUUAUUGGGCGUAAAGAGCUUGUAGGCGGUUUGUCGCGUCUGCUGUGAAAAUCCGGGGCUCAACCUCGAACUUGCGGUGGGUACGGGCAGACUAGAGUGUGGUAGGGGAGACUGGAAUUCCUGGUGUAGCGGUGAAAUGCGCAGAUAUCAGGAGGAACACCGAUGGCGAAGGCAGGUCUCUGGGCCACUACUGACGUGAGAAGCGAAAGCAUGGGGAGCGAACAGG
rnacentral:rRNA from 1 species